CAUCAGCCACGGUAAUACAGAGGGUGCGAGCGUUAAUCGGAUUUACUGGGCGUAAAGCGUGCGUAGGCGGCUUCUUAAGUCGGAUGUGAAAUCCCUGAGCUUAACUUAGGAAUUGCAUUCGAUACUGGGAAGCUAGAGUAUGGGAGAGGAUGGUAGAAUUCCAGGUGUAGCGGUGAAAUGCGUAGAGAUCUGGAGGAAUACCGAUGGCGAAGGCAGCCAUCUGGCCUAAUACUGACGCUGAGGUACGAAAGCAUGGGGAGCAAACAGGAUUAGAUACCCCUGUAGUCCCUGUCUCUUAUAC
rnacentral:rRNA from 1 species